UACCUUUUGGUUCGGAACAACACAGGGAAACUUGUGCUAAUACCGAAUAAGCCCUUACGGGGAAAGAUUUAUCGCCGAAAGAUCGGCCCGCGUCUGAUUAGCUUGUUGGUGAGGUAACGGCUCACCAAGGCGACGAUCAGUAGCUGGUCUGAGAGGAUGAUCAGCCACAUUGGGACUGAGACACGGCCCAAACUCCUACGGGAGGCAGCAGUGGGGAAUAUUGGACAAUGGGCGCAAGCCUGAUCCAGCCAUGCCGCGUGAGUGAUGAAGGCCCUAGGGUUGUAAAGCUCUUUUGUGCGGGAAGAUAAUGACGGUACCGCAAGAAUAAGCCCCGGCUAACUUCGUGCCAGCAGCCGCGGUAAUACNAAGGGGGCUAGCGUUGCUCGGAAUCACUGGGC
rnacentral:rRNA from 1 species